ACUACGGGUGGCAGCAGUGGGGAAUAUUGGGCAAUGGGCGCAAGCCUGACCCAGCAACGCCGCGUGAAGGAAGAAGGCUUUCGGGUUGUAAACUUCUUUUCUCAGGGACGAAGCAAGUGACGGUACCUGAGGAAUAAGCCACGGCUAACUACGUGCCAGCAGCCGCGGUAAUACGUAGGUGGCAAGCGUUAUCCGGAUUUACUGGGUGUAAAGGGCGUGUAGGCGGGAAAGCAAGUCAGAUGUGAAAACCAUGGGCUCAACCUGUGGCCUGCAUUUGAAACUGUUUUUCUUGAGUACUGGAGAGGCAGACGGAAUUCCUAGUGUAGCGGUGAAAUGCGUAGAUAUUAGGAGGAACACCAGUGGCGAAGGCGGUCUGCUGGACAGCAACUGACGCUGAGGCGCGAAAGCGUGGGGAGCAAACAGGAUUAGAUACCCCUGUAGUC
rnacentral:rRNA from 1 species